rnacentral:rRNA from 1 species
GAUGAACGCUAGCGACAGGCUUAACACAUGCAAGUCGAGGGGCAGCACAGGUAGCAAUACCGGGUGGCGACCGGCGCACGGGUGAGUAACGCGUAUGCAACUUACCUAUCAGAGGGGGAUAACCCGGCGAAAGUCGGACUAAUACCGCAUGAAGCAGGGGUCCCGCAUGGGGAUAUUUGCUAAAGAUUCAUCGCUGAUAGAUAGGCAUGCGUUCCAUUAGGCAGUUGGCGGGGUAACGGCCCACCAAACCGACGAUGGAUAGGGGUUCUGAGAGGAAGGUCCCCCACAUUGGUACUGAGACACGGACCAAACUCCUACGGGAGGCAGCAGUGAGGAAUAUUGGUCAAUGGCCGAGAGGCUGAACCAGCCAAGUCGCGUGAGGGAUGAAGGUUCUAUGGAUCGUAAACCUCUUUUAUAAGGGAAUAAAGUGCGGGACGUGUCCUGUUUUGUAUGUACCUUAUGAAUAAGGAUCGGCUAACUCCGUG